GAUUUCGUAGCUCAAAUGGCUAGAGUAUCGGUUUCAUACGCCGCAGGUUGAAGGUUCGAAUCCUUCCGAAAUUA
rnacentral:tRNA from 1 species